UCGAAUCGCAUGGCCUUGCGCCGGCGAUGGUUCAUUCAAAUUUCUGCCCUAUCAACUUUCGAUGGUAGGAUAGUGGCCAAACAUGGUCGCAACGGGUAACGGAGGAAUUAGGGCUCGACCCCGGAGAAGGAGCCUGAGAAACGGCUACCACAUCCAAGGAAGGCAGCAGGCGCGCAAAUUACCCAAUCCCGACUACGGGGAGGUAGUGACAAUAAAUACUGAUACGGGGCUCUUUUGGGUCUCGUAAUUGGAAUGAGAACAAUUUAAAUCCCUUAACGAGGAACAAUUGGAGGGCAAGUCUGGUGCCAGCAGCCGCGGUAAUUCCAGCUCCAAUAGCGUAUAUUAAAGUUGUUGCAGUUAAAAAGCUCGUAGUUGAACCUUGGGUCUGGCUGGCCGGUCCGCCUCACCGCGAGUACUGGUCCGGCUGGACCUUUCCUUCUGGGGAACCUCAUGGCCUUCACUGGCUGUGGGGGGAACCAGGACUUUUACUGUGAAAAAAUUAGAGUGUUCAAAGCAGGCCUUUGCUCGAAUACAUUAGCAUGGAAUAAUAGAAUAGGACGUGCGGUUCUAUUUUGUUGGUUUCUAGGACCGCCGUAAUGAUUAAUAGGGAUAGUCGGGGGCGUCAGUAUCCAGCUGUCAGAGGUGAAAUUCUUGGAUUUGCUGAAGACUAACUACUGCGAAAGCAUUCGCCAAGGAUGUUUUCAUUAAUCAGGGAACGAAAGUUAGGGGAUCGAAGACGAUCAGAUACCGUCGUAGUCUUAACCAUAAACUAUGCCGACUAGGGAUCGGACGGGAUUCUAUGAUGACCCGUUCGGCACCUUACGAGAAAUCAAAGUUUUUGGGUUCUGGGGGGAGUAUGGUCGCAAGGCUGAACUUAAAGAAAUUGACGGAAGGGCACCACAAG
rnacentral:rRNA from 1 species